rnacentral:rRNA from 1 species
UACGUGGGGGGCAAGCGUUGUCCGGAUUCAUUGGGCGUAAAGAGCGUGUAGGCGGCCAGGUAGGUCGGUUGUGAAAACUGGAGGCUCAACCUUCAGAGGUCGACCGAAACCAUCUGGCUAGAGUCCGGGAGAGGAGAGUGGAAUUCCUGGUGUAGCGGUGAAAUGCGCAGAUAUCAGGAAGAACACCCGUGGCGAAAGCGGCUCUCUGGAACGGUACUGACGCUGAGACGCGAAAGCGUGGGGAGCGAACAGGAUAGAUACCCA